rnacentral:rRNA from 1 species
UACAGAGGUCUCAAGCGUUGUUCGGCUUCAUUGGGCGUAAAGGGUGCGUAGGUGGCGCCGUAAGUCAGGUGUGAAAUCUCGGGGCUUAACUCCGAAACUGCAUUUGAUACUGCGGUGCUUGAGGACUGGAGAGGAGACUGGAAUUUACGGUGUAGCAGUGAAAUGCGUAGAGAUCGUAAGGAAGACCAGUGGCGAAGGCGGGUCUCUGGACAGUUCCUGACACUGAGGCACGAAAGCUAGGGGAGCAAACAGG